rnacentral:pre_miRNA from 1 species
UAAUUUGUUUGGAGCAUAUCUUCAUUUAGUUAUGGCAGACGUAAACCUGACUGUAAAUAAUAACUUUUUAAGAUUUUAAUUGGAGU